AAAAGCGAACAAUCGGUUUGCCAUCGUAGACUCCACUAGGCAGGCAGGAGUCGGGCUCUUAACCUACCCAUCCCAGCCUACCGGGACUCUACUCAAAACCAGAUCACAUCCGCCUCUGAACAACCAGCCUUUCCUCUGCAACCCCAUAAGUCAGGCUCAGACAAUCCUCCCAGAACUCAGGUUUUGGUUUUUUGUUUUUUUAAAGGUUGAACGCGAAAAGAAAUGGGCUGGACGACCCACGCACCUAGAGCGGACAGAAGACUGCUAGUAAGGGCGAGGCUGCCUGCGAGGUAUCAACAAAUGGUCCAGGGAGCCUCGGGUUACAGUGCAGACAUGGCCAAGUCCAAGACCCACACAACCAGUCCUGCAAAUGGCACAGAAAUGGCAUCAAGAAACCCCGGUCGCAAAGAUACGAAUCUCUUAAGGGGGUUGACCCGAAGUUCCUGAGGAACAUGCUCUUUGCCAAGAAGCACAACAAGAAAGGCCUGAAGAAGAUGCAGGCCAACAGUGCAAAGGCAGUGAGUGCGCGUGCAGAGGCCAUCAAGGCACUGGUGAAGCCUCAGGCCGUCAAGCCCAAGAUGCCAAAGGGCCCCAGCCGCAAACUCAGCCUAACUACACCAAGCAGAAAUGAAAGAUACAUACAGAGACCAGAGAUAAUCAUGACCUCAACAGGGGAGAGGACGUCAGAGUUCCGGCAAGUGAAGGAGUUGGCAUGAUAGACAUUGUCCCGUUUUUGGACACAGUGACUACAGCUUAGGUUGUAGGGAGGGCAGCCUAAAGGAUGGACGUGAGGUUGAGUCGCCAAGCUCCACUUGACCUCGGGGUGGAGGGGUCAGAUGAAAAACUAUAUAUCUUUCAGUUAUGAAAUAAGGCUGCAGCAAGAACAGAGGCAUUUGGGGGCACAGCCAGGUGUGGCCAUUCGUUCUUCUCUUCCAUCCACAUAUAUCCCAUCCUGAUGGGGAGAGAAGAAGAAACUCUUCAAGGCUGUUUGCUGAACAGUAAUUACGUUGAACUUGCUCCAAAAAGAUUGAGUUACAGUCUUACUGAGCUGAAUAUUUACUCCAAGAGACUGAUUUUGAAAGUGCAAAUACCUAGUUAUCUUAAGAGUGGUAAGAUGGAGUUUCCUCCCAUCAGUAAAAAUGAGGACUUUAGAGAUAAGCUGAAUUCCGAGAUAGAGAAAUAAACUAUUUCCACUUGAGCUGUGGGCUGUAAAUCUUAAACGCAUUACUCUAUGGUAUACUCUUUGAAGUCUUAGCAUUAGUGUGUGCUGUAGGCAGGAGAAUUACUCAGAUGAGUGUGAGAUCAUUGCUUCAGCAUCUGAAGUGUUUGUGGGUUCCAGGGGGUACACUUGGAGGGGCAUUUCUCUUUCUGGGCGUCUGACCUGGAGUCCGCAGCAGCUUUCAGCUUCUCCCAGCAAUAACAGCUCAGUGAUGGUGCAGCUUCUUCAGAGGCUGGGAUGUAUUAUCCAUCCAUUCAACAUCUGAAUAUGACCUCAAAGGGGCAGAAGUGUUUAUCAGGCAUGUGUGGUAUGCUAAUGCCUGUCUGUAAAUGUCAUGCUGGAAAGGCAGUACUUACUUCCCGGAGCUCGAUGACAGCAACAAAGAGAGGAGCAGGCUGACAACCACCUCCGCCUGAGAGCAUUUGAUAUGUUACCCCAGCUAAAUCUCUCAAAUAAUAGACUGCUUUUCCUUCUCCCUUGAUGACAAAGGGCAGCAAAGAGGCAGGGCACGAAGUCAGGGGCAGGAAUGAGUCAGUGAGUGGAUGUGGUGGCAUCAGAGCAGGACAGACAUUAAUGAUGGGGAAGAAGCUGUGCAAACAUCAACUCCCCGACUGUGACACAUUGGGUCUGAGUCUUUCCUCCUCAACCCCAGAAGUCUCCUCUGAACCAAGGGCACGUGCAGUGGGAUGAAGGCACUGGACUCACUCUGGGGGAGGGUGCUCUGCUGCUGCGAUAGCUUGGUGUUGGCGCCGUCAUCUAUGGCAGAAAAAUGGAAGUCGGGAGCCGAGGGACUGGGAAGUCAGGGAAAUGAGGAGGUCUUCCUUUCUAGUAGUGGGAAUGAAAUGUUUAAAGAGAAUAAUUAAUUGAAGCAGAAACUCUACCUCUCUUCAGGGAGCUCUUCCAUAUCAAUUCAAAUAUCUACCCUUAAUACACAAGCGUGUUCGUGCAACACACACACACACACACACACACACACACACACACACACACAGAGAGAGAGAGACACACACACACACACUGUUUUAUCAGUAUAAUAAAGUCCAAGGAAGGAGAGAAGUUACUUAACUUUAUGCUGGGAUAAGAAAUGAAGGACUACUUGAGAAUGUAAGAGUCUUGGGGCUGGAGAGAUGAGUCAGUUAAGAUCACUGGUUACUCUUCCAGAGGAGCUGAGUUUGAGUCUCGGAAUCCACCUGGUGUCCCACAGCCAUCGUAACUCCAGUUUUAGGGUAUGCAACAGCAUCUUCUGGCCUCCCUUAACACCAGGCACACAUGGUGCCCAGACAUACAUGCAAGCAAAACACCCAUAUGCAUAAAUCAAAGUAAGUAAAUCGUUUAGAAAAAAAUAAUAGUAGCUGAAUCUCUUCAUUGGUAUAUCCUUUCAUUUUCUAAGCAAUAAAUGUUUUCAAAUAC